UUAGUGUUAUUUUGUGAUGACUGGGCGUAGGGUACGUAGGCGGAUAAUUAAAAAUUUAGUAAAAAACUGAGGAGAACCCUCUUUAAUCUAAAUUCACUGAUUAUCUGAGUUUCAAAGGCGGUUUAUUGAAUUCUUGAAGAAAGGGUAAAAUUGUUGAUAUUGGAAGACAUUCGAUAGCGAAAGCAAUAACCGAUUUGGAUCUGACGUUAGGUACUAAAGUAUGGGGAUAAAUAGGAUUAGAGACCUAGUAGUCCAUACCUAAACAAUGAGUGUCAACAUCUAUAAGCUU
rnacentral:rRNA from 1 species